rnacentral:tRNA from 1 species
GGGUGUUUGGCUCAGUUGGUAGAGCAGUUGACUUUUAAUCAAUUGGUCGCAGGUUCGAAUCCUGCACGACCCACCA